CCUUCGCUUCCUUUGUAAUCGCUCGGUUUCUCAUUAAUCGGGUCGCACCAGAUCGGAGCUCCUCCGCUGUCUCACCCAGAGCCGCACAUUGAGUGAGGCUUGCAAGGGUUUAGAAAAGUUGUGUCGUUCCAAGCGAUGCACAUCCUAUUGCGUUCUUCUCCUUCAUUAUUGCAACACCGCAUUCUUCAAUUUGAGGUUUUUGUUGAACCACAACCUAUUCCUAUCAACGCAUCCAUUCCAAGCGACGCACAUCCAAUGGGUGAGAAAACGAAUCAUUCACAAUUUUGGACGUCAAGGUUAAGGUCUCACCUACCUCUGAUGUCGUUCCAAAUGAGCCUUUGAUUUUUUUUCUUUUCUUAUUUGUGAAUUGAAUUUGUGUUUGAGAUUCAACCUCGGAAAUUCAUCUUUGGGAUGUGAAUAUUUUUCUUGGUGGCAUGGAUUUAUCUAGAAAAGUUCAGAUCUCACAUUGAGAUAGUAAUCCUUUCAUCGAACCACUGAGGUUUCAAAUACCAUAGGUUUGGUUCAUUAUUCUUCGAGAUCCCUUCUUUCAGAAUUUCAGUGAUUGGGUUUCCUAAUGGUGCUUAUGAUGUCAACCACUCCCCAGGUACCCAUACUCGACGCCUUAAUUCAGAAUUAGUAAAAUCUGGAAAACAUAGCCUUCUAUGGAAUUUCUGUUUUAAAAACGGCUAUCUGAUUAGGUUAAUUAUGUGUUAUAUAUGAUCUUUCCCCAUUGUUUCAAUGUCUGACUUCGACAUUUCGUUUUAUCUCACUUCUUCCCGUCCUGUAGUUUCAUAGUUUCACUUUUUAAUGUCUCUGUGAAUUGUUGAUCGCAUUUUCACCUUUUCUCUGUUAGGUUUUUCUCUCGCUUUCAUUUUCACUUUGUUGCUCUC